GACAGAGGGUGCAAACGUUGUUCGGAAUUACUGGGCGUAAAGCGCGUGUAGGCAGCGUUGCAAGUCGGAUGUGAAAGCCCUGGGCUCAACCUAGGAAGUGCAUUCGAAACUGCAACGCUUGAGUUCUGGAGAGGAAGGCGGAAUUCUCGGUGUAGAGGUGAAAUUCGUAGAUAUCGGGAGGAACACCGGUGGCGAAGGCGGCCUUCUGGACAGCAACUGACGCUGAGACGCGAAAGCGUGGGGAGCAAACAGG
rnacentral:rRNA from 1 species